GGAAGAAGAACUGACGGUACUUGAGGAAUAAGCCACGGCUAAUUCCGUGCCAGCAGCCGCGGUAAUACGGGAGUGGCAAGCGUUAUCCGGAAUUAUUGGGCGUAAAGCGUCCGCAGGCGGCCUUUUAAGUCUGUUGUCAAAGCGUGGAGCUUAACUCCAUUUGAGCAAUGGAAACUGGGAGGCUUGAGUGUGGUAGGGGCAGAGGGAAUUCCCGGUGUAGCGGUGAAAUGCGUAGAUAUCGGGAAGAACACCAGUGGCGAAGGCGCUCUGCUGGGCCAUCACUGACGCUCAUGGACGAAAGCCAGGGGAGCGAAAGGGAUUAGAUACCCCUGUAGUC
rnacentral:rRNA from 1 species